rnacentral:tRNA from 1 species
AGGAUUAUAAUUUAAAAAAAAAUAUUUGAAUUGCAAUCAAAAAUUACUUUUAGUAAAAAAGUUAAUCUUA